rnacentral:rRNA from 1 species
UGGCGCUGUGGGAUGAACCAAACGCAAUGUUACGGUGCCAAAAUUUACAACUCAUGCAGAUACCAUGAAAGGCGUUGCUUGCUUAAAACAGCAGGACGGUGGACAUGGAAGUCGUAAUCCGCUAAGGAGUGUGUAACAACUCACCUGCCGAAGCAACUAGCCCUUAAAAUGGAUGGCGCUUAAGUUGUAUACCUAUACAUUGCCGCUAAUGUAGAUGAUUUAUAUAUAAUUUUGGUUAUAUAUAAAUUUUGAAACAUUAGUGAGUAGGAGGGUACAAUGGUGUGCCUANAAGUGUUUGG